GGGUGAGUAACGCGUGGAUAAUCUACCCAUGAACCUGGGAUAACAGCGAGAAAUUGUUGCUAAUACCGGAUAAGCUCACGUACUGUAGGGGUAUGUGGGAAAAGGCGGCCUCUGGGACAAGCUGCCGUUUAUGGAUGAGUCUGCGUCCCAUUAGCUAGUUGGUGGGGUAAGGGCCUACCAAGGCGACGAUGGGUAGCCGGCCUGAGAGGGUGGCCGGCCACACUGGAACUGGAACACGGUCCAGACUCCUACGGGAGGCAGCAGUGGGGAAUAUUGCGCAAUGGGCGCAAGCCUGACGCAGCAACGCCGCGUGAGGGAAGAAGGUCUUCGGAUCGUAAACCUCUGUCUGGAGGGAAGAACGGCAUGGGGUCGAACAGGCUCUGUGAUUGACGGUACCUCCGAAGGAAGCACCGGCUAACUCCGUGCCAGCAGCCGCGGUAAUACGGAGGGUGCGAGCGUUAUUCGGAAUUACUGGGCGUAAAGGGCGUGUAGGCGGCUUUGUAAGUCAGAUGUGAAAGCCCACGGCUUAACCGUGGAACUGCAUUUGAAACUGCUUGGCUAGAGUACGGGAGAGGGUGGCGGUAUUUCCGGUGUA
rnacentral:rRNA from 1 species